rnacentral:rRNA from 1 species
CAGGAUGAACGCUAGCGGCAGGCUUAACACAUGCAAGUCGAAGGGCAUCGCGGGGAGUGCUUGCACUCCCUGGCGGCGACUGGCGCACGGGUGAGUAACACGUAUGCAACCUGCCCUCCACAGGGGGACAACCUUCCGAAAGGGAGGCUAAUCCCGCGUAAAUCUCGAUGGGGCAUCCCAUUGAGAGGAAAGCUUCGGCGGUGGAGGAUGGGCAUGCGGCACAUUAGCUAGUCGGCGGGGUAACGGCCCACCGAGGCGACGAUGCGUAGGGGUUCUGAGAGGAAGGUCCCCCACACUGGUACCGAGACACGGACCAGACUCCUACGGGAGGCAGCAGUGAGGAAUAUUGGUCAAUGGGCGGGAGCCUGAACCAGCCAAGCCGCGUGAGGGAAUAAGGCCCUAUGGGUCGUAAACCUCUUUUGUCGGGGAACAAAAGCGGGGACGCGUCCCCGUCUGCGUGUACCCGAAGAAAAAGCAUCGGCUAACUCCGUGCCAGCAGCCGCGGUAAUACGGAGGAUGCGAGCGUUAUCCGGAUUUAUUGGGUUUAAAGGGUGCGUAGGCGGUAUGGUAAGUCAGCGGUAAAAGCCCGGGGCUCAACCCCGGCGAGCCGUUGAAACUGCCGUGCUAGAGAGGAAGAGAAGUAGGCGGAAUGCGCAGUGUAGCGGUGAAAUGCUUAGAUAUUGCGCAGAACUCCGAUUGCGAAGGCAGCCUACCGGCUUCUGUCUGACGCUGAGGCACGAAAGCGUGGGUAUCGAACAGGAUUAGAUACCCUGGUAGUCCACGCAGUAAACGAUGAA